rnacentral:lncRNA from 1 species
UUCCUGUUGCCUAGAGAAGGGAGGGAUUAAGUGACUUGGCCAAGGUUACAUGUAGCCAUUAUUGCAUCAAACACAGAGCUUGAACCCAGGUCCUUUUGCCUCUAAGGCCAGCUCUCUAGUCACUCUGCCCCUCACUGCCUCUAUACAUCCAGAAGAAUCCUCUCAGUGGCAGUUCUUGUCCUUGUUUGAGGAAAGCUACCAGGGAGCUGGUUUAGUCAGACCAUGACAAAGCAUGUCCUGAAGUGACAGCUGAAUGUCUGAGGGCACACCAGAGUGUCUGAAGGCACCAUGGCUGCCACGGGCCCAGUUUUAUCCUUUGUGGAAACACGUCUCCAGAAAAGCAUCGUCCAGAGCCUCAGAGUUCCAGGGCUGGUGUUGGGUGUUUCGUGGGACAGAGAGCUUAGACAUGGUUCAAUCUUGUGAUUGCUGCCAUACCUGCAAACACUCAGCUCAAUAGAGGCUCCCUUUCCUGUCAACACUCUUAGGAAUCUAUGAUAUUUAUAUUAAAGAAAAAGGAAAGUCAAAACAAGGCAAGGCUCCAAGGGUCUUCCAACACAAGCUUGGGAAAUUCAGUCUGCGUUCCACAGAGGGAAGGAUUCUUUUUUUCCCUCCACAUUUCAAAUAGUCACAUCUAAUCUUCUUGGAAGUCAAUUCAUCCAGUGUUUUCCCUCAGGUUAUUCAGAAAGCCAUUGUGGAUAGUAGAAUGGAUGAGUAAAAUAAUGAUGGCUGAAUAAAUAGAAAUCUGGAUGAAAGGAAAAGAAAAAGAAAGCCAAAAGAAGAGAGGAGAUGGAAAAAGAGAAAGAAAGAAUAUUUAUUAAGCAACUGCUCCAUUCCAGGCACUGUCAUAAAUGCUGAGAACACAGGAAAAUGGGAAGGGUCAGAAACCUUCAAAUGGAAGGAGAACCUCUAACUCCAAAUUCAAUCAUCAUCAUCAGCAGCAGUAGCAGAAGCAGCAACAUCAACAUCAUGAACAACAUCAUCAUCAUCUACAAAAUCAACACCAUCUACAUCAUCAUCAACAUCAACAUCAUCAUCAUCAACAACAACAAAAUCAGCAUCAGCAUCAACAUCAUCAUCAGCAUGAAUAUCAUUAACAUCAUCACCAUCAUCAAUGUCAUCAACAAGAACAAUAUCAGCCUCAAAAUCAUCAAUGUCUUCAUCACUAUCCACAUCAACAUCUAACUAUCCAUCUUUUCCUGGCCUAGGAAAGAUUUUUGCUCGGUGGCUUAACCUAAUAGCAUACUAUGCAGAGCACUGAACGAGAGCCAAAAGACCUAAACUCUAGGCUUGAGUGCCACUACAUGUCCUUUGGGGGUAAAAAGAAAGUCUUCAUUUUCCUGGACUCAGUUUCCUCAUUUAUGUAUGAAUGAAACUUACCUGGACUCUGCAUUAAGUUAAUCAAUUAAAUGAAGGAAUAAACCAAGUGUAAAUAAGAAAAAAAUGCUUUCU